rnacentral:rRNA from 1 species
AUUGAACGCUAGCGGGAUGCUUUACACAUGCAAGUCGAACGAGUGGCGGACGGGUGAGUAAUAUAUAGGCACGUGCCCAGUAGCGGGGGAUAACUUCUCGAAAGCGUGGCUAAUACCGCAUACUAUUGGAGCGGCCGAUAUCGGAUGAGCUAGUUGGUGGGGGAAAGGUUAACCAAGGAACAGCUCCGUAGCUGGUUUGAUCGGACGACCAGCCACACUGGGACUGAGACACGGCCCAGACUCCUACGGGAGGCAGCAGUGGGGAAUUUUGGACAAUGGGGGAAACCCUGAUCCAGCCAUCCCGCGUGUAUGAGAAGGCCUUCGGGUUGUAAAGUACUUUUGGCAGAGAAGCGGUAUCUGCAGAAUAAGCACCGGCUAACUACGGGCCAGCAGCCGCGGUAAUAC